rnacentral:rRNA from 1 species
UCAGGAUGAACGCUAGCUACAGGCUUAACACAUGCAAGUCGAGGGGCAGCAGGGAAGUAGCUUGCUAUUCCGCUGGCGACCGGCGCACGGGUGAGUAACGCGUAUCCAACCGUGCCCCGUACUCGGGGGACAGCCCUCUGAAAGGAGGAUUAAUACCCGAUAUUGUCGCUGUGGGACAUCCCAUGGUGAUGAAAGAUUCAUCGGUACGGCGAUGGGGAUGCGUAUGAUUAGGACGUAGGCGGGGUAACGGCCCACCUAUCCGACGAUCAUUAGGGGUUCUGAGAGGAAGGUCCCCCACAUAGGAACUGAGACACGGUCCUAACUCCUACGGGAGGCAGCAGUGAGGAAUAUUGGUCAAUGGGCGAGAGCCUGAACCAGCCAAGUAGCGUGAAGGAAUGACUGCCCUAUGGGUUGUAAACUUCUUUUAUAGGGGAAUAAAGUGCUCCACGUGUGGAGUUUUGUAUGUACCCUAUGAAUAAGCAUCGGCUAAUUCCGUGCCAGCCGCUGC